AGUUUCUUUUCAUCUUUCUUAAAGUAUGUGUAACAGGGAUCCCCUGGUCCCCAUUACUUAGAGAAACUUAAAGAGGGGAACUCACCCAGCCAGCGGCAGAAAUGACCAGAAGGAUGACAUCAUCCGCCAAUACAGGGAGUGUUCACUGUACCUCGGAGAUGGAAAACAUUGUUAAUUACUAACCAGAAAUGAGGCGAAUAAAAAGAAGAAAUGAACAAACAAUUUAUCAUCCGUUUUCUCAUGAAGAGGUCAACAUAGUUUCCUCAAGGCAAACUGAUCAAGGAACUCCAAUGGCACUCAUUGUCAAGAAACAUGACAAGUUAGGGAUUCUUUGAUGACUCUACCUUGCUUGGGUAGACUUACUGCUAAAAUUUUUACUCUGAGGAUUAAGCAUCUGUUCUUGAGCUGGUAAGUGUUUGUAGAAUCAAACCCUAACCCGCCUGUGUUGCUAAGAAAUUUCCUAUAAAUAGUAUUCUA
rnacentral:lncRNA from 1 species